rnacentral:rRNA from 1 species
UUAAGUUUACGGGAGAUUGGACUUGAGUGUGGAAUAAAUAAAGUAUUAGUAUUUUUUUUUGGUUUAAGUUUUAAAUAAUUAUUAGUAAGAACUGAGAAGGGAGUAAAUAUAAAAUUUUUAAGUAAAUAAAUAUGUUUUACCUUUUGUAUCAGGGGUGAUUAAAAUAGUUGGAUUAAAUAUUCUAAUCCCGAAUCUUAUAUGAAAUAAUUUUUUAUUUAAAUUACUGUAACAAUAGUAAUAAAAAUAUGGAGUUAUAGGUGAAAUGCUUAAAAAUUGGGGGAUAUCUGGUUUUCUUUAAUUAAAUUGAAUUUUUUAAUAUAUUUUAAUUUAUUAAUUUUUGAUAUGAUAUUAUAAAUAUAUUAAGUAAAUAUCUGGGGAUAAACUUAAAUAGAAAUUAAAAUAAAUUGAUAAAGUGAGUUAUUAAAUUAAAUUUAAAAUUGAUCAUAUUUUAAAGUUUUUUAUAAAUUAUUAAAUUUAAAUAUUAAAUUUGAAAGAGGUUUAAUUUAUUAAGGGAAUUUUUUUUAAAAUAUUAAAAAAAUAAUAAUAAUGAUUAUAUUAGUAAAAUUAUGUUUAUAUAAUUGAUUAAUAGGGAAAUUUUAUUUAAAAACUUGGCAAAUACUUAAUAUCCACCUGUUUAAUAAAAACAUGGUUUUUAAAAUUUAUUAAAGAUCAGGUCUGACUCAAUGACUUUUAAGUUAAAUAGCUGCGGUAUUUUGACUGUACAAAGGUAGCAUAAUCAUUAGCUUAUUAAUUGUAAGCUGGAAUGAAAGAUUUAAUGUGAUAUAAUCUUUUUUAAUAAGAUAAAUUGAACUUAAUUUUUAAGUGAAAAAGCUUAAAUAAUAAUAAGGGACGAGAAGACCCUGUAGAUUUUUAUAUUUGGGUUAAUAGAAUAGGUUUAUUUUUAAGCGGGCUAUUAUUUUAAAUAUUUAAAUGGGGAAUUUAUAAAAUUAAAUAAUUUUUAUAAAUAUUAAUAUAUAUGAAUAAUUUAAUAUGAUUUGAUUUAUAUAUUGUAAGUAGAUAAAAAUACCUCAGGGAUAACAGCAUAAUAAUUUUUGGGAGAUCGUAUUUCAAUGAUUGUUUGUGACCUCGAUGUUGAAUUACAAUUAAAUUUAGAUGCAGAAGUUUAGUAUUUUAGUCUGUUCGACUAUUAAAAUUGUACAUGAUUUGAGUUAAGAUCGGUGUAAACUAGAUUGGAUUCUAUCUUUAUUUAUUUAAAAGUUUUUUGUACGAAAGGACUUUAACUUUAGAAUAAUUUUUAUAUUAUGAAUUAAAUU